rnacentral:rRNA from 1 species
UACGUAGGGUGCAAGCGUUAAUCGGAAUUACUGGCCGUAAAGCGUGCGCAGGCGGUUAUGCAAGACAGAGGUGAAAUCCCCGGGCUCAACCUGGGAACUGCCUUUGUGACUGCAUAGCUAGAGUACGGUAGAGGGGGAUGGAAUUCCGCGUGUAGCAGUGAAAUGCGUAGAUAUGCGGAGGAACACCGAUGGCGAAGGCAAUCCCCUGGACCUGUACUGACGCUCAUGCACGAAAGCGUGGGGAGCAAACAGG